AUUGAACGCUGGCGGCAGGCCUAACACAUGCAAGUCGAACGGUAACAGGAAACAGCUUGCUGUUUCGCUGACGAGUGGCGGACGGGUGAGUAAUGUCUGGGAAACUGCCUGAUGGAGGGGGAUAACUACUGGAAACGGUAGCUAAUACCGCAUAACGUCGCAAGACCAAAGAGGGGGACCCUCGGGCCUCUUGCCAUCGGAUGUGCCCAGAUGGGAUUUGCUUGUUGGUGGGGUAACGGCUCACCCAGGCGACGAUCCCUAGCUGGUCUGAGAGGAUGAGCAGCCACACUGGAACUGAGGCACGGUCCAGACUCCUACGGGAGGCAGCAGUGGGGAAUAUUGCACAAUGGGCGCAAGCCUGAUGCAGCCAUGCCGCGUGUAUGAAGAAGGCCUUCGGGUUGUAAAGUACUUUCAGCGGGGAGGAAGGGAGUAAAGUUAAUACCUUUGCUCAUUGACGUUACCCGCAGAAGAAGCCCCGGCUAACUCCGUG
rnacentral:rRNA from 1 species